rnacentral:rRNA from 1 species
GAUGAACGCUGGCGGCGUGCCUAAUACAUGCAAGUCGAGCGAACGGACGAGAAGCUUGCUUCUCUGAUGUUAGCGGCGGACGGGUGAGUAACACGUGGAUAACCUACCUAUAAGACUGGGAUAAAUUCGGGAAACCGGAGCUAAUACCGGAUAAUAUUUUGAACCGCAUGGUUCAAAAGUGAAAGACGGUCUUGCUGUCACUGAUAGAUGGAUCCGCGCUGCAUUAGCUAGUUGGUAAGGUAACGGCUUACCAAGGCAACGAUGCAUAGCCGACCUGAGAGGGUGAUCGGCCACACUGGAACUGAGACACGGUCCAGACUCCUACGGGAGGCAGCAGUAGGGAAUCUUCCGCAAUGGGCGAAAGCCUGACGGAGCAACGCCGCGUGAGUGAUGAAGGUCUUCGGAUCGUAAAACUCUGUUAUUAGGGAAGAACAGAUGUGUAAGUAACUGUGCACAUCUUGACGGUACCUAAUCAGAAAGCCACGGCUAACUACGUG